rnacentral:tRNA from 1 species
GAACACUAGCUCAGUGGUUUAGAGGUUAAGCGUUCAUGUGUGAGAUCGAAGGUCGUGGGUUCGAGUCCCGUGUGUGGGG